UCUUCAGAAAAGCUGGUCUCAGUGAU
rnacentral:piRNA from 1 species